AGAAGAACUCUGUGCGAAACAGUGAGGUUUUGCCUGCAUGUGGGAGCCCAGAAAGCCGAGACUGCAAACCAAACGAUGCUGAGUGUUCAGUGUCUAACACAAAAAUGCAGGACCAGAAUUUAAGGCUGACUUUCACGCCUGACCUUUGACUGCAUAGCAUUAUUGGAAGGGAUGUAACUGUCUUCAGUAAAUCUAGCUUGUCUCCUCCAGUCCAGUGGUCAAGCAAGGAGCUUGGCGUUCUUGUGAAUGUGGGAGUCAGAGGAAUGGGACUGCCAUGAUGUUUUAACUGUCUGGAUGUGUGUGCUCAAAAAACAAGUCUGAGCUGCCUUGUUGUCCGGUCACACACUGACCUUCUUCACAUUAUUUUCAAA